UGGGGAAUAUUGGGCAAUGGGCGAAAGCCUGACCCAGCGACGUCGCGUGAGUGAUGAAGGCCUUCGGGUUGUAAAGCUCUGUGGAGAGGGAAGAAAAAAGCAAGGUCAAAUAGCCCUUGUUCUUGACGGUACCUCUUUAGCAAGCACCGGCUAACUCUGUGCCAGCAGCCGCGGUAAGACAGAGGGUGCAAACGUUGCUCGGAAUUACUGGGCGUAAAGCGCGUGUAGGCGGGCCGAAAAGUCGGGUGUGAAAUCCCUGAGCUCAACUCAGGAACUGCAUCCGAAACUCUCGGCCUAGAGUGUCGGAGAGGGAGAUGGAAUUCCCGGUGUAGAGGUGAAAUUCGUAGAUAUCGGGAAGAACACCAGUGGCGAAGGCGGUCUCCUGGACGACAACUGACGCUGAGACGCGAAAGCGUGGGGAGCAAACAGGAUUAGAUACCCCCGUAGUCC
rnacentral:rRNA from 1 species